UGCAGAAGUAGAAUGCUGGAUGGUUAGGUUGGUUCUGGUGUGCUUGGUGCUAGGGUUGGUGGGUGCCAGGGAUGAUGAUUAUCCUGAUGAGAAGGUGGUGGAGAGAAUACCGGUCUUUACCACACCUUCCCUCAGGAGGCUGGUCAAUGAGGGGGACAGGAUCAGGCUUCCGUGUUUUGUUGACCGACUAGAGGGGUUUGUUCUACUCUGGAAGAAAGGAGAAACUAUUAUCAGCGUAGGAGAGAGGGUCAUCUCACAGGAUAAUGGUAGGACGAGCCUGGAGGCUGAGAAGGAAGGGAACUGGCUGGUGGUGGAGGACGCAAGACUGGAGGAUGGAGGAGAAUAUACUUGUCAUAUCUCAGCUUUUCAUCCUCAGGAGAUCAGUCACAGUGUCAAGAUAAGAACCAGGCCUGCUAUACGUAAUAUGGUUGAUGAAGUUGAUGCUAGCGAGGGAGAGAACGCAACCUUAUCCUGUAUCCUUACUGCCGGAGAACCUACUCCGGAGAUAUCUUGGAGUAAACCUGGAUCCGUCAAACCUAGAGCUCUCAUCAAUUCAUUCGGCCCAGAUCUGAAUCUUGUGAAUGUAACCUGGGAAUCCGCUGGUGUUUACCAGUGUACGGCGGAUAAUGGCUUCGUCACGAGUUCUUCGGCGAAUGUCCAUUUCCGAGUCCGACAUAAACCCUACAUUCUCCGCUCCGAUCACUACGUACACUUCAGUCCUGGACUUGGAGUAAAGUUAUCCUGCACAGUACCUGGGUACCCGGAGCCGAGCCUAACCUGGUUCCGAGGUGGGUUCGCUCUCUCCUCUCUACAGUAUAAUAUGAGCAGGAUCGGGACUAAAUACUCUCUCUACCUGAACCCGGAGGAGGCUUCCCUUGGGAAUUAUUCUUGUAAUGCAACCAACACUCUGGGGUCGGAUUUUAAAUCUAUAGUGGUCUCAAACAAGGUUGUACCGAUAGAAUUCGUCUCUGCUCCUAUAUCCGAGUCUGAUGAUGAGUAUUUACUCCAGUGGGUUGGAACAAGUGGUGUACAAGUAUCCAAGUAUAUAUUAAUAACCUCGAAAGAGGAUGGUAGUGAAAUGCUGGAGAUCGAACUGAAACCUGAUUCUCAAACAGGUUUGAGUUGGCCUGCUGAGUUUAAACUGACCGGCCUUGAACCAGCUACAGUGUACAAAGCCCAGGUGUCAGGGGUCAAUGAAAACGGCGCCGGUCCCUUUACUCAAUUCAUCUUCGGAACUCAAGGAACCAGUUUUAAUCCUGAAUCCGAGAAACUGGUUUCAUUCUCCCCGGCUAGGUUUGGGAUCAGUUUUAAACUCUGUAUUGUCAGCUUGUUAUUGUUUGUCAGUUUAUAAAUUAGGGGUUAAAAGGACUGGGAUGAUUUACAAAGGUUCCCUUUAAUCCUUUGUCAGAGUAUAAUUGACAGGCACGGACAUACCACUCAAAUAUUAAGGAUCAUUUGAAAUUAUGUCUUUAGUCUCUUUUUUAUAUACCAAACACCUAGUGAAGAGUUAGGAUAACAACCUAAUAAUUCAGAAUUCAAGAUUCUUAAAUGUCACCAAACUUUGUUUCAACUAACUUUUAUAGCAGUGGCUUAGGCUCUUAAUAUUUUUGUACAAAUCUUUUUACGUAAAAAUUUACAAGGAAAACCAAAGUUCACAUUUAGUUAACCAACCCUGUGCAUUGUACAGUUUAUGUCAUCGUACAGUUUGUGGCCGGCACAAUCCGUGGCACGAGUUAAACAUAUUGUUAUGACUGAAAUUAUGGAUUCAUUUACAUUUUGUAUAAAUACACUUACAUUUUGUAAUAUAAACUACAAUGUAUUAAGGAAUUGAACAGCCCACUCAUUUUAUACUCUUAAUUCUAAUAACGACUUCUGGUUACAAAGAUAUGAGAAUUUUAAAAAUAUUAGUAUGAGAGCGAGUACUCAAUUCCUUAUUAUGCAUUAAAGUUCAUAUCUUACAAAUAUUUUAGUUCCAUUUCAUUUAUAACAUUUAAUAAUAAUCCAAACUUAUGAAAA
rnacentral:misc_RNA from 1 species